GACGAACGCUGGCGGCGUGCUUAACACAUGCAAGUCGAACGGAAAGGCCCUGCGUUUGUGGGGUUCUCGAGUGGCGAACGGGUGAGUAACACGUGUGUAACCUGCCCUUGUCUUUGGGAUAACUUCAGGAAACUGGGGUUAAUACCAUAUAGCAUCCCCUGUUGCAUUGUGGGGGUUGGAUAGUCUCGGCGGUUGGGGAUGGACUCGCGGCUGAUGAGCUUGCUGGUUGGGUAGUGGCUUACCAAGCCUUUGACCGAUAGGCGGCCUGUGAGGGUGGCCGGGCACAUUGCGACUGCGAUAGGGAGCAGACGGCAACAGGAGGCAGCAGUGGGAAAUAUUGCACAAUGGGACGGAGCCUGAGACAACAACGCCGCGGGCGGAAUGACGGCCUGCGGGUUAUAAACCGCUGUCGCUUAAGACGAAGCGUGAGUGACGGUAAUGAGUGAAGAAGCACCGGCUAACUACGUG
rnacentral:rRNA from 1 species